GCCGGGCGUGGUGGCGCACGCCUGUAAUCCCAGCUACUCGGGAGGCUGAAGUGGGAGAAUUGCUUGAACCUGGGAGGCGGAAGUUCCAGUGAGCCGAGAUCACGCCACUGCACUCCAGCCUGGGUGACAGAGUGAGACUCCAUCUCAU
rnacentral:SRP_RNA from 2 species